GUGAGGAAUUUUCCGCAAUGGGCGAAAGCCUGACGGAGCAAUGCCGCGUGAAGGAUGAAGGCCUAUGGGUUGUAAACUUCUUUUCUCAGAAAAGAAUUAUGACGGUAUCUGAGGAAUAAGCAUCGGCUAACUCUGUGCCAGCAGCCGCGGUAAGACAGAGGAUGCAAGCGUUAUCCGGAAUGAUUGGGCGUAAAGCGUCUGUAGGUUGUUUAAAAAGUAUUCUGUCAAAGAUUAGGGCUUAACCCUAGAUAGGCAGAAUAAACUUUUAAGCUAGAGUUUGGUAGAGGCAGAGGGAAUUUCCGGUGGAGCGGUGAAAUGCGUAGAUAUCGGGAGGAACACCAAAGGCGAAGGCACUCUGCUGGGCCAAUACUAACACUGAGAGACGAAAGCGAGGGGAGCAAAUGGGAUUAGAUACCCGAGUAGUCC
rnacentral:rRNA from 1 species